UACGUAGGGUGCGAGCGUUGUCCGGAAUUAUUGGGCGUAAAGAGCUCGUAGGCGGUCUGUCGCGUCUGCUGUGAAAACCCGAGGCUCAACCUCGGGCCUGCAGUGGGUACGGGCAGACUAGAGUGCGGUAGGGGAGAAUGGAAUUCCUGGUGUAGCGGUGGAAUGCGCAGAUAUCAGGAGGAACACCGAUGGCGAAGGCAGUUCUCUGGGCAUUAACUGACGCUGAGGAGCGAAAAGCAUGGGGAGCGAACAGG
rnacentral:rRNA from 1 species